GAGCCGUGGCACUGUCAAGUCAUCAGACGCGGUGAUUGCGAGGCCUGUGGGAAAGUACAAAAGCCUGAGCUAGAUUACCCCUCUCAUCGAGCCCGCCUGUGUGGCACCUGUUUCUUAUCACCCCACUAAGUUCCCGCCUCACAGGGUAGUCUGCCUAGCUAUUAAUCCUAUAUAUAGCCAGUGCCUCCACCCCCGAGAGAGAGACUGAAGCACGGAAGGAGCCGCGGGGAGCGGACCGGUAGAGGCUUCGGGGGAGACUGAAGCACAAAAGGAGCCGCGGGGAGCGGACCGGUAGAGGCUUCGGGAGAGACUGAAGCACGGAAGGAGCCGCGGGGAGCGGACCGGUAGAGGCUUCGGGGGAGACUGAAGCACAAAAGGAGCCGCGGGGAGCGGACCGGUAGAGGCUUCGGGACAGACUGUAGAGAGACUGAAGCACGGAAGGAGCCGCGGAGAGCGGACCGGUAGAGGCUUCGGGGCAGACUGUAUAAGGAGAGAAUAAAGAAAAGCCUGACCACCGCCAGACCUUGUCGUGUGUCUUUCCUGCCGGCCGGGAGCGACAUCGACAUUUGGUGGCCCGCACGGGGAUUGAUCAACCCCGAGACGCGGCGGUGGACUGCAUUCUCCUACACAGUGCUGCAGCUGCAGGACAGGAAUCGGGACGAGAGCCAAUGUGGGUCCCAGAGAGGUUGACGCGACAAGUCCCUCGACUGAAGAUCAGGCCUGUUCCACCAGAGGCCAACCGCAGACCCAACAACAAGAUGAGCCCUAAAAGAACUGCAGGACAAUCCCUUUUUGGGGGCCUGGAACGGCUUGCUCCCCUAUGUGCUACCCUUGUAUACGCAUGGCUCGCUCGCAUGGCCUACGACCGCGUUUAAAAGUGACAGGCUUCCCACAUUCUCCUCCCUAGACAACAACAUGUAGCAGGGUGGGUGAGUCAAUGACGGGUAAGAGCGUGCCUCCCCAGCACGACUCAACCUAAGCCAGGCCCUACCCCGUUCCGCUCGAAAGCCGCUGGAUUGUUAGAUAAAUUUCUCUCCGAGGGGAUUCGUGGAGAGAAAUGAGUGCAUGCCUAUGUGCAACCAGGUUCCGUCCGGUUCAUUCCUGGCCCUAGAAAAAAGGACGAGGGCCUCAGGGCCUUGGUGGACCCUGGGACGGCCGACCAGGGUCUACGCUAAGGGCCUACGGUGGGCCUCAGUUCGGGGCAUAGGCCUCUGCACUCUAUCCAGGACGGGCUGCGAUGCGCGUAGCCAUCAUUUAAAAUAAAAUAGGGGGAGAUGUUGGGAGCCGUGGCACUGUCAAGUCAUCAGACGCGGUGAUUGCGAGGCCUGUGGGAAAGUACAAAAGCCUGAGCUAGAUUACCCCUCUCAUCGAGCCCGCCUGUGUGGCACCUGUUUCUUAUCACCCCACUAAGUUCCCGCCUCACAGGGUAGUCUGCCUAGCUAUUAAUCCUAUAUAUAGCCAGUGCCUCCACCCCCGAGAGAGAGACUGAAGCACGGAAGGAGCCGCGGGGAGCGGACCGGUAGAGGCUUCGGGGGAGACUGAAGCACAAAAGGAGCCGCGGGGAGCGGACCGGUAGAGGCUUCGGGAGAGACUGAAGCACGGAAGGAGCCGUGGGGAGCGGACCGGUAGAGGCUUCGGGGGAGACUGAAGCACAAAAGGAGCCGCGGGGAGCGGACCGGUAGAGGCUUCGGGGCAGACUGAAGCACGGAAGGAGCCUCGGAGAGCGGACCGGUAGAGGCUUCGGGGCAGACUGUAUAAGGAGAGAAUAAAGAAAAGCCUGACCACCGCCA